CUUGGCGUUGGGGUUCUUCGCCAGCAGGUGGUUGCCCACCGCGUGCAUCAGGUGCGUCUUGCCCAGGCCGACGCCGCCAUA
rfam:Pseudomonas sp. EGD-AK9 Contig_57, whole genome shotgun sequence.